rnacentral:rRNA from 1 species
GAUGAACGCUGGCGGCGUGCUUAACACAUGCAAGUCGAACGGAAAGGCUCCUGCUUGCAGGGGUUCUCGAUUGGCGAACGGGUGAGUAACACGUGGGUGAUCUGCCCUGCACUUCGGGAUAAGCCUUGGAAACUGGGUCUAAUACCGGAUAGGACGUUGGUUUGGAUGCCAUUGUGGAAUGUUUUUCGGUGUGGGUUGCGCUCGCGGCCUAUCCGCUUCUUGGUGGGGUAAUGGCUUACCAAGGCGUCGACGGGUAGCCGGCAUGAGAGGGUGUACGGCCACAUGGGGACUGAGAUACGGCCCAGACGGCUACGGGAGGCAGCAGUGGGGAAUAUUGCACAAUGGGCGCAAGCCUGAUGCAGCGACGCCGCGUGGGGGAUGACGGCCUUCGGGUUGUAAACUACUUUCGCUAGGGACGAAGCGCAAGUGACGGUACCUGGAGAAGAAGCACCGGCUAACUACGUG